rnacentral:rRNA from 1 species
GAUGAACGCUGGCGGCGUGCCUAAUACAUGCAAGUCGAGCGAACAGACGAGGAGCUUUCUCCUCUGACGUUAGCGGCGGACGGGUGAGUAACACGUGGAUAACCUACCUAUAAGACUGGGAUAACUUCGGGAAACCGGAGCUAAUACCGGAUAAUAUAUUGAACCGCAUGGUUCAAUAGUGAAAGACGGUUUUGCUGUCACUUAUAGAUGGAUCCGCGCCGCAUUAGCUGGUUGGUAAGGUAACGGCUUACCAAGGCAACGAUGCGUAGCCGACCUGAGAGGGUGAUCGGCCACACUGGAACUGAGACACGGUCCAGACUCCUACGGGAGGCAGCAGUAGGGAAUCUUCCGCAAUGGGCGAAAGCCUGACGGAGCCACGCCGCGUGAGUGAUGAAGGUCUUCGGAUCGUAAAACUCUGUUAUUAGGGAAGAACAAAUGUGUAAGUAACUAUGCACGUCUUGACGGUACCUAAUCAGAAAGCCACGGCUAACUACGUG